GCUCUGGUGGUCUAAUGGUUAGAGAGUCCUCUUCGGAUGCGGGAGGUCGUGGGUUCAAUCCCCAUUCGAAUCA